UGGUGAUCUUGGUUGGUUCCUUUGUGAAAUGUGACUUGCUGUAUAAUAAACAUUUGAAUCUAAGUGAUUCGAGAGUGGGCAGUUCGGAGGGCAAAAAUCUGUGUUGGUUGAUCUUUGUGAUCAAGAUUGAUUCCUGUGUGGAAUAGUGUUUGCUAUUGUUGUUAUAGCAAAGAUAAGUCCUGUACUUGAUUCUUUGUUGUAAAUUGCUGGAAUAUUAUUGUAAUCUG
rnacentral:lncRNA from 1 species